rnacentral:rRNA from 1 species
GCAGUCGAGCGAACAGAUAAGGAGCUUGCUCCUUUGACGUUAGCGGCGGACGGGUGAGUAACACGUGGAUAACCUACCUAUAAGACUGGGAUAACUUCGGGAAACCGGAGCUAAUACCGGAUAACAUAUUGAACCGCAUGGUUCAAUAGUGAAAGGCGGCUUUGCUGUCACUUAUAGAUGGAUCCGCGCCGUAUUAGCUAGUUGGUAAGGUAACGGCUUACCAAGGCAACGAUACGUAGCCGACCUGAGAGGGUGAUCGGCCACACUGGAACUGAGACACGGUCCAGACUCCUACGGGAGGCAGCAGUAGGGAAUCUUCCGCAAUGGGCGAAAGCCUGACGGAGCAACGCCGCGUGAGUGAUGAAGGUCUUCGGAUCGUAAAACUCUGUUAUCAGGGAAGAACAAAUGUGUAAGUAACUGUGCACAUCUUGACGGUACCUGAUCAGAAAGCCACGGCUAACUACGUGCCAGCAGCCGCGGUAAUACGUAGGUGGCAAGCGUUAUCCGGAAUUAUUGGGCGUAAAGCGCGCGUAGGCGGUUUUUUAAGUCUGAUGUGAAAGCCCACGGCUCAACCGUGGAGGGUCAUUGGAAACUGGAAAACUUGAGUGCAGAAGAGGAAAGUGGAAUUCCAUGUGUAGCGGUGAAAUGCGCAGAGAUAUGGAGGAACACCAGUGGCGAAGGCGACUUUCUGGUCUGUAACUGACGCUGAUGUGCGAAAGCGUGGGGAUCAAACAGGAUUAGAUACCCUGGUAGUCCACGCCGUAAACGAUGAGUGCUAAGUGUUAGGGGGUUUCCGCCCCUUAGUGCUGCAGCUAACGCAUUAAGCACUCCGCCUGGGGGAGUACGACCGCAAGGUUGAAACUCAAAGGAAUUGACGGGGACCCGCAC